rnacentral:rRNA from 1 species
UACGGGGGAGCAAGCGUUGUUCGGAUUUACUGGGCGUAAAGGGCGCGUAGGCGGCCACCGCAAGUCGACUGUGAAAUCUCCGGGCUUAACUCGGAAAGGUCAGCCGAUACUGCGGGCUAGAGUGCAGAAGGGCAACUGGAAUUCUCGGUGUGGCGGUGAAAUGCGUAGAUAUCGAGAGGAACACCUGCGGCGAAGGCGGGUUGCUGGGCUGACACUGACGCUGAUUGUGCGAAAGCUAGGGGAGCGAACGGG